rnacentral:rRNA from 1 species
CUUGACUCUUAUAAGAGGUCCAGCCUGCCCAGUGACCAUGUUCAACGGCCGCGGUAUCCUAACCGUGCGAAGGUAGCGUAAUCACUUGUUCUUUAAAUGUGGACUAGUAUGAAUGGCACCACGAAGGUUAUACUGUCUCCUUUUUCUAAUCAGUGAAACUAAUCUCCCCGUGAAGAAGCGAGGAUACACCUAUAAGACGAGAAGACCCUAUGGAGCUUUAAACAACACAGCAAUUACCUGCUAAACUAAGAAGUUUCUGAACAUUUUAAUCUUUUAAGUAAUCUGACUGCAAGUUUUUGGUUGGGGUGACCACGGAGCAUAACACAACCUCCAUGUUGAAAGAAUUCUUUCUAAGCCAAGAACAACCUUUCUAAGCAUCAAUAUAUUGACAUCCAUUGACCCAAUACAUUUGACCAACGAAC